CAAAUACCAAUGUCUCACCAAUAGAAAAACCAUUUUGAAAAAUAAUUAUAAUCACUUCGAUGCUUCCAAAGCCGUAGUCACUUGUCACACCCAGCCGUUAUAAAAGUAGUACGUUACAGAAUAGGUAUUUGAAACCGUGAGCACUUCUGUCAAUAUAAUAUUGCCUAUACAAAUAAAUUUCGAAAUCUAUUGUUUUUCUUUAUUAUCAUCAUAAUAAAAUACAACAGAAUACUGCACGUAAUACAGGCUAUGAAAUAUCUUUUUUAAUUUAAAAUACACGUACCUCAUAA